rnacentral:rRNA from 1 species
UACGUAGGGGGCAAGCGUUGUCCGGAUUUACUGGGCGUAAAGAGCGCGCAGGCGGUCGAUCAAGUCGCGUGUGAAAGCCCCCGGCUCAACUGGGGAGGGUCACGCGAUACUGAUCGACUCGAAGGCAGGAGAGGGUAGUGGAAUUCCCGGUGUAGUGGUGAAAUGCGUAGAUAUCGGGAGAACACCAGUGGCGAAGGCGACUACCUGGCCUGUUCUUGACGCUGAGGCGCGAAAGCUAGGGGAGCAAACGGG